rnacentral:rRNA from 1 species
AGUCGAUCGGUACGCGGGGGCACCCUGGCGACGAGAGGCGGACGGGUGAUCAAUGCUUGGGAAUCUGCCCAUCAGCGGGGGACAACCCGGGGAAACCCGGGCUAAUACCGCAUACGCUCUACGGAGGAAAGCCGGGGACCGCAAGGCCUGGCACUGAUGGAUGAGCCCAAGUCGGAUUAGCUAGUUGGCGGGGUAACGGCCCACCAAGGCGACGAUCCGUAGCUGGUCUGAGAGGACGAUCAGCCACACCGGAACUGAGACACGGUCCGGACUCCUACGGGAGGCAGCAGUGGGGAAUAUUGGACAAUGGGGGAAACCCUGAUCCAGCGACGCCGCGUGGGUGAAGAAGGCCUGCGGGUUGUAAAGCCCUUUCGGUAGGGACGAAAGCUUCCGACCUAACACGUUGGGAGGUUGACUUAACCUACAAAAGAAGCACCGGCUAACUCUGUGCCAGCAGCCGCGGUAAUACAGAGGGUGCGAGCGUUAAUCGGAAUUACUGGGCGUAAAGCGCACGUAGGCGGCUUGGUAUGUCGGGUGUGAAAUCCCCGGGCUCAACCUGGGAACUGCAUCCGAAACUGCCUUGCUAGAGUAUGGGAGAGGGAAGUGGAAUUUCCGGUGU